ensembl:lncRNA
GUGACCAGAAGGGGUGGAGCAAGGAUACACCUCUUCCCAGACCUCAUUUAAGGGUUGGCAGUGGAGGCAAAGGCAUCUGGCUGGAGAUCCCUGUUUACCUGAGUCUUUCUGAAGGAUUUUCUGGUACAGACAUACCGUUACUUUACCUGGUGACUUGAUACUGAGGAAGUGAACGAGGGGAUGGAGAUAAUCACAAGGGAAAUAUCAUGCAAAAUGAUUUAUUUUAGAAAACAAAGACAAUUGUCUAUUUCACAUGCUUACACUGCAGCUAAAGGAAGAUGGGAAACAUCCUGAAAUGAAGUGCAUGAAUUUGUAUUUAAUUAGCCCUUUGCAGCAGGACCGGGUUACAUAUGGAGCUAGGCAAGCUCAAUGCCACCAGAAAUGAGAACAAAAGUGCUGCCAGAUGGAAAACCAAGGAAAAUUAAAUUGAUUUUAUGCAUGAAAAAAAUUAUUCAAUAAGUAAAACAUAUAGAAUACAUG